UGGGGAAUCUUGCACAAUGGAGGAAACUCUGAUGCAGCGACGCCGCGUGAGUGAUGAAGCCCUUCGGGGUGUAAAGCUCUUUCGACCCGGAAGAUUAUGACGGUACGGGGAGAAGAAGCUGCGGCUAACUACGUGCCAGCAGCCGCGGUAAUACGUAGGCAGCGAGCGUUGUUCGGAGUUACUGGGCGUAAAGCGUGCGUAGGCGGUGUCUUAAGUUUGUUGUGAAAUCUCCCGGCUUAACCGGGAGGGUGCGGCGAAUACUGAGAUGCUGGAGUGCCGGAGAGGUAAGCGGAAUUCCUGGUGUAGCGGUGAAAUGCGUAGAUAUCAGGAGGAACACCUGCGGUGUAGACGGCUUACUGGACGGUAACUGACGCUGAGGCACGAAAGCGUGGGUAGCAAACA
rnacentral:rRNA from 1 species